rnacentral:rRNA from 1 species
AUUGAACGCUGGCGGCAUGCUUUACACAUGCAAGUCGAACGGUAACAGGUUAAGCUGACGAGUGGCGAACGGGUGAGUAAUGCAUCGGAACGUGCCCGGUCGUGGGGGAUAACGCAGCGAAAGCUGCGCUAAUACCGCAUACGAUCUGAGGAUGAAAGCGGGGGACCGUAAGGCCUCGCGCGAUCGGAGCGGCCGAUGUCAGAUUAGGUAGUUGGUGGGGUAAAGGCUCACCAAGCCGACGAUCUGUAGCUGGUCUGAGAGGACGACCAGCCACACUGGGACUGAGACACGGCCCAGACUCCUACGGGAGGCAGCAGUGGGGAAUUUUGGACAAUGGGCGCAAGCCUGAUCCAGCAAUACCGCGUGCAGGAAGAAGGCCUUCGGGUUGUAAACUGCUUUUGUACGGAGCGAAAAGGUCUUCCCUAAUACGGGAGGCUGAUGACGGUACCGUAAGAAUAAGCACCGGCUAACUACGUGCCAGCAGCCGCAGUAACAC